CCUAACGUCUUGAGAAUUUACAUCUACCUGUUUUUUCUGUUAUAGGAAUGUAUGUCACUGUCUACUGCCACAUUUCCAUUGGGAAGAUGCAGAAAUCUGAAGGGGCUGUGGUGGAAGAGGAAGAGAAACAAAGCAGAUGACAGCUGUCUGUGGGGUGAGGGAGACCAAAGGAGAGGGGCCCGCCAGCUCUGGGCUGUCCUUGUGAGGUCGAAGUCAAUAAUCCAGAGCUAAGAAACGGAGGAAGAGAUUCAGUUGCAAUGCAAAGCAUUAUAGCAGGAUCUUAGAUGCAACUAUAGAGAAACACUCAUUUAUCCAAUGAAUACUUUCCAGCAC
rnacentral:lncRNA from 1 species